CCUUCGAUAGCUCAGUUGGUAGAGCGGUGGACUGUAGUUGGCAUUAAACAAAAUCAGAAAUCCAUAGGUCGCUGGUUCAAAUCCGGCUCGAAGGA
rfam:Nasonia vitripennis chromosome 3, whole genome shotgun sequence.